rnacentral:lncRNA from 1 species
GGCCCCGUGUUCGGAGAGGGGAAGUUUUCCUCUUUCCUGUCGACGGAUUUCAGGACAUUCUGCUUUACAGACCAUUGCUGUGGUUGGGGUAGCAGUGGGCUAUAGCUGCCUGGAGGUGCUGCUUUAUCAAAGUCUGGAGGCUGUGCAUUCACCUUCCUGACUCACCAGUGAGCCUGAACAGAAGCAUUUACUGGCUUCCACACAAACUUCAGGAGCUGACAGGGAGCAGACACGCUGCCAAGAAGCCAUCCUCCUUGGAAGAUAGAAGCAAGGUUCUCCUCCCAGCCAGGAGCUCAGGCGCAUAAGAAUGAAGCAGGCUCUGUUCUCCCUUUGCAGACACACAGUGCUCCUGCACACCACUGACCUGGCAAGAAAAGGUCCUAAACGUGCCCCAGACCCCGAGACACCUGGCCAGCUUCUUUAACCUUUUCAUGGAGGCCUUCUAAGCUAAGUAAUUUAUUUAUAGUAAUAUUUA